rnacentral:rRNA from 1 species
UACAGAGGGUGCAAGCGUUAAUCGGAAUUACUGGGCGUAAAGCGUGCGUAGACGGUUAUGUAAGUCGGGUGUGAAAGCCCCGGGCUCAACCUGGGAAUUGCAUUCGAGACUGCAUAGCUAGGGUGCGGAAGAGGGAAGCGGAAUUUCCGGUGUAGCGGUGAAAUGCGUAGAUAUCAGGAGGAACACCGGUGGCGAAGGCGGGUCUCUGGGCCGUAACUGACGCUGAGGAGCGAAAGCAUGGGGAGCGAACAGG